UGAGUAACCUGCCCUUAACUCUGGGAUAAGCCUGGGAAACUGGGUCUAAUACCGGAUAUGACUCCUCAUCGCAUGGUGGGGGUGGAAAGCUUUUGUGGUUUUGGAUGGACUCGCGGCCUAUCAGCUCGUUGGUGAGGUAAUGGCUCACCAAGGCGACGACGGGUAGCCGGCCUGAGAGGGUGACCGGCCACACUGGGACUGAGACACGGCCCAGACUCCUACGGGAGGCAG
rnacentral:rRNA from 1 species